rnacentral:rRNA from 1 species
AUUGAACGCUGGCGGCAGGCCUAACACAUGCAAGUCGAGCGGUAGAGAGAAGCUUGCUUCUCUUGAGAGCGGCGGACGGGUGAGUAAAGCCUAGGAAUCUGCCUGGUAGUGGGGGAUAACGUUCGGAAACGGACGCUAAUACCGCAUACGUCCUACGGGAGAAAGCAGGGGACCUUCGGGCCUUGCGCUAUCAGAUGAGCCUAGGUCGGAUUAGCUAGUUGGUGAGGUAAUGGCUCACCAAGGCGACGAUCCGUAACUGGUCUGAGAGGGUGAUCAGUCACACUGGAACUGGGACACGGUCCAGACUCCUACGGGAGGCAGCAGUGGGGAAUAUUGGACAAUGGGUGAAAGCCUGAUCCAGCCAUGCCGCGUGUGUGAAGAAGGUCUUCGGAUUGUAAAGCACUUUAAGUUGGGAGGAAGGGCAUUAACCUAAUACGUUAGUGUUUUGACGUUACCGACAGAAUAAGCACCGGCUAACUCUGUGCCAGCCGCCGCCGUAA